rnacentral:rRNA from 1 species
CUUACCACUUUGUGAUUCAUGACUGGGGUGAAGUCGUAACAAGGUAACCGUAGGGGAACCUGCGGUUGGAUCACCUCCUUACCU